rnacentral:rRNA from 1 species
UACGGAGGAUGCAAGCGUUAUCCGGAAUGAUUGGGCGUAAAGCGUCCGCAGGUGGCAAUGUAAGUCUGCUGUUAAAGAGUCUAGCUCAACUAGAUAAAAGCAGUGGAAACUACAUAGCUAGAGUACGUUCGGGGCAGAGGGAAUUCCUGGUGUAGCGGUGAAAUGCGUAGAGAUCAGGAAGAACACCAGUGGCGAAAGCGCUCUGCUGGACCUGCACUGACACUGAGGGACGAAAGCUAGGGGAGCGAAAGGG